GGCUGGUCCGAAGGUAGUGAGUUAUCUCGAUUGUUCGCAGUCAGUACAGAUUGAACUCCUUGUUCUACUCUUUCCCCCUUCUCACUACUGCACUUGACUAGUCUUUA
rnacentral:Y_RNA from 1 species